UGUUGUAAAACAACGUGACCGAAGACAGUUGGUGACGCAAGUCAUAAUUCCAACCGAGGACAUUUAUUUAUUAGUUAAUAAUGAAUUUUUGUACUCUCUAUGUCUAUGGUUGGCGUGGAGUUUUUUUACGCCAUCA
rfam:Lactococcus piscium MKFS47 genome assembly, chromosome: I